rnacentral:rRNA from 1 species
GGACUACCAGGGUAUCUAAUCCUGUUCGCUCCCCACGCUUUCGCUCCUCAGCGUCAGUAUCGGCCCAGAGACCCGCCUUCGCCACCGGUGUUCCUCCUGAUAUCUGCGCAUUUCACCGCUACACCAGGAAUUCCAGUCUCCCCUACCGAACUCCAGCCUGCCCGUAUCGACCGCAAGCCCGCAGUUGAGCUGCGGGUUUUCACGGUCGACGCGACAGGCCGCCUACGAGCUCUUUACGCCCAAUAAAUCCGGACAACGCUUGCGCCCUACGUCUUACCGCGGCUGCUGGCAC